rnacentral:rRNA from 1 species
GACGAACGCUGGCGGCGUGCUUAACACAUGCAAGUCGAACGGAAAGGCCCUGCUUUUGUGGGGUGCUCGAGUGGCGAACGGGUGAGUAACACGUGAGUAACCUGCCCUUGACUUUGGGAUAACUUCAGGAAACUGGGGCUAAUACCGGAUAGGAGCUCCUGCUGCAUGGUGGGGGUUGGAAAGUUUCGGCGGUUGGGGAUGGACUCGCGGCUUAUCAGCUUGUUGGUGGGGUAGUGGCUUACCAAGGCUUUGACGGGUAGCCGGCCUGAGAGGGUGACCGGCCACAUUGGGACUGAGAUACGGCCCAGACUCCUACGGGAGGCAGCAGUGGGGAAUAUUGCACAAUGGGCGGAGGCCUGAUGCAGCAACGCCGCGUGCGGGAUGACGGCCUCCGGGUUGUAAACCGCUUUCGCCUGUGACGAAGCGUGAGUGACGGUAAUGGGUAAAGAAGCACCGGCUAACUACGUG